rfam:Macleaya cordata isolate BLH2017 scaffold8799, whole genome shotgun sequence.
UGUGGCUUAGUGGUAGAGCACUCACCUCACAAAUAAGAAGUUGGGGGUUCGAUUCCCUCUA